rnacentral:rRNA from 1 species
UACGUAGGGGGCAAGCGUUGUCCGGAAUUAUUGGGCGUAAAGAGCGUGUAGGCGGUCCGGUAAGUCAGCUGUGAAAGUCAAGGGCUCAACCCUUGAAAGCCGGUUGAUACUGUCGGGCUAGAGUCCGGAAGAGGCGAGUGGAAUUCCCGGUGUAGCGGUGAAAUGCGCAGAUAUCGUGAGGAAGACCAGUGGCGAAGGCGGGUCUCUGGACAGUUCCUGACACUGAGGCACGAAGGCCAGGGGAGCAAACGGG